GUAGUAGUGGGAGGAAGAGGCCGUUGUUGAAUCCAGUGGAUAGGGUUGUUGGUCAAGAAGAGGAUGAUAAAGAACAGGGAGUCUGCUGCAAGAUCAAGGGAGAGAAAGCAGCUUGGGGAAAAUCUAGUACCAGUAACUCAGAAGAAAACAGUGCGUCGACCUCUGAGAAGAACACAGUCCAUAUAGUGGUAGCUAAGAGUAACCAUUUGUUCCCUGAGAUCUUUUCCGGUGCCUCAACAAUAGGCAAGGAAAGG